rnacentral:rRNA from 1 species
UACGUAGGGUCCGAGCGUUGUCCGGAAUUAUUGGGCGUAAAGGGCUCGUAGGCGGUCUGUCGCGUCGAAAGUGAAAACCCAGGGCUUAACCCUGGGCCUGCUUCCGAUACGGGCAGACUAGAGGUAUGCAGGGGAGAACGGAAUUCCUGGUGUAGCGGUGAAAUGCGCAGAUAUCAGGAGGAACACCGGUGGCGAAGGCGGUUCUCUGGGCAUUACCUGACGCUGAGGAGCGAAAGUGUGGGGAGCGAACAGG